UAACAACGACGCUGGUUUGUAGCAACAUUCGGAGUUAACUUUGUUGUUUAACUUUUCGUAGUCUUCUUCAACUAAUCAAAGGUAUUAGCUGCGGAGCCUACUGGAAUUUCUGUUGUUUAGUCGCUUUAAAAAGGAACAGUCCAAAGAUAUAUAUAUAUAUAGCACGCACAGAAUUUAUGAAUUUUGUUCAAGCAAUAUACGACUGACGGAUUUCUGGGUGUGAAAGAAAAUAACAAAAGCAGCAAAUAGUCCACUCCUUAAAAACGUGACGAAAGAAAUAGGAAAGUAAAAAACAACGAAACAAACUAAAAUAUAUAUUUUUCUUAUGUCCUACAAAUUAUGUUGCUUAUUUAAUAAGAACCCAAUUCCAAACAUUGAAGUUAGAAUUUCUAGCUACGACUAGAAACAAAACUUUUCGAAUAAGUAGACGACUUGCUGAUGGUUGAAGUGUGAUGUCACCUUACAACAAGAUGUUUUCUAUCUGAUUAAGAAAGAAUUAAUGAUUUUGUUUGAAUAUUGAUCCUGACAUAUUGCCUUUCUCUUUCUUUUCAUUUGUAUUCCUCUCCUAUUCACAAGAUCUUAUAAAGGCUUCUCAUUUUCACUUCUUCAAUAAUUAUUAACAUUUUUAUUAUUGUAAAUACUCGGAAACACAGUUGAGUUAAGAAAGAAAAAUAAAUAAAGAAUUCAGAAGUGAUAAAUCUUUUUAGUUCACAGAAUUUCAACUAAAUAAGUCUCUGACUUUUGUUAAGAGGUUUUCCACAGAUAAAGGCCUGGAUUUUAUUUCCGAAGAGUAAAUCAGAGAGAAAAGGUCCCAGAGAAUCAUAGAGACAAAGACAGACGAGCACGCGGAUAAAUUCCAGAAUGAUUCAUCUAGCCCCGAUAUUGAUGUUAUUUUGGCAGUUUCUGACUUUGUUAUUUAUACUAACUGAAAUCUUUAUUAAACAUUAUGUGAAUUGUCCCAAUCCAAAGCGUGGUGGAAACCAACAGGCAACGUAGAAAGCUGAAGUUUGAAGGGAUAGCGAUAAGAUGCUUCUCGGUGAUGCUGGAUUUCCUUGGCAUGCCUAUGGUUAAUAAUGGAAUGGCCUGUCUUAUCUUCCAAAUGGUAACGACAGAAUCAACGAUCUGAUACAACAUCCGAAUAGGGAAUCAUCAGAAUUCUGAUAGCUUUUGGAGAAUUUGGCUUCUUCGAGGAACAGAGAAAGUGGCUGGAGAUGCUGGUGGACACAGACAAACUAUUGGUUGCGCCUCGUGCUUAUGUAUCUUUGAAAGAAUUCCGGAUUCCAGCUGAAAAACAAUUUCAAAAUAAAUAGCAAGUGGUACUAAAAUUCAAA